UACGUAGGGUGCAAGCGUUGUCCGGAAUUAUUGGGCGUAAAGAGCUCGUAGGCGGUUUGUUGCGUCGGCUGUGAAAUCCCGAGACUCAACCUCGGGUCUGCAGUCGAUACGAGCAAACUAGAGUGUUGCAGGGGAGACUGGAAUUCCUGGUGUAGCGGUGAAAUGCGCAGAUAUCAGGAGGAACACCGGUGGCGAAGGCGGGUCUCUGGGCAACAACUGACGCUGAGGCACGAAAGCGUGGGGAGCAAACAGG
rnacentral:rRNA from 1 species